GGGGAUUUAGCUCAGUAGUAGAGCGCUUGCUUAGUAAGCAUAAGGCCCUGGGUUCAAUCCUCAGCUCCA
rnacentral:tRNA from 1 species